rnacentral:rRNA from 1 species
GAUGGGAUUAGCUAGUAGGUGGGGUAACGGCUCACCUAGGCGACGAUCCCUAGCUGGUCUGAGAGGAUGACCAGCCACACUGGAACUGAGACACGGUCCAGACUCCUACGGGAGGCAGCAGUGGGGAAUAUUGCACAAUGGGCGCAAGCCUGAUGCAGCCAUGCCGCGUGUAUGAAGAAGGCCUUCGGGUUGUAAAGUACUUUCAGCGGGGAGGAAGGGAGUAAAGUUAAUACCUUUGCUCAUUGACGUUACCCGCAGAAGAAGCACCGGCUAACUCCGUGCCAGCAGCCGCGGUAAUACGGAGGGUGCAAGCGUUAAUCGGAAUUACUGGGCGUAAAGCGCACGCAGGCGGUUUGUUAAGUCAGAUGUGAAAUCCCCGGGCUCAACCUGGGAACUGCAUCUGAUACUGGCAAGCUUGAGUCUCGUAGAGGGGGGUAGAAUUCCAGGUGUAGCGGUGAAAUGCGUAGAGAUCUGGAGGAAUACCGGUGGCGAAGGCGGCCCCCUGGACGAAGACUGACGCUCAGGUGCGAAAGCGUGGGGAGCAAACAGGAUU